GUCUACAGCCAUGCCACCCUGAACAGGCCGAAUCCCGUCUGAUCUCAGAAGCUAAGCAGGGUCAGGCCUGGUUAGUACUUGAAUGGGAGACCACUUAGGAAGACCAGGUGCAGUAGUCA
rnacentral:rRNA from 1 species